CGCUGCUCCCCAUCUUCUUCUCCAUCCUCCGUCCCCCAAUUCAAUACUAUCCAUCUCCCUCUCCCUCGUCCGCCGCCACCACCGGCAACCUCGGUGCCCCUCUCCCUAACAGCCGCCGCCCCCACCUCUCCCCCAUCCCCCGCUCUCACCUUCUCUCCUUAAACUAGGCGGCCCCCAGAACGAGCAGGCCGAGGCGCUUCCCGAUUUGCGGCGCUGCUUCCGGAUCCGCCAAGCAGCGCCAGAGGUCGGCUCCUUCUUCGCGUUGUUCUGCGCCAAGAUUGGCCUCCCCUUCCUUUUCCGCGUGGUCCAUGGCGCUAACCCCGGAUGGUGAGGCACUCAAUACCAUGGCCGGAUGGAGGUUGGGUGAUUUCCUUCCCUGACCUCGCGGCCUAGCCACUCCACCGCGAGCUUCUCGCCCCCAGCGGCGUACAAGACGCCCUCCUCGAUGCAGCCGUUCCCAACGAGCUCUCUUUGCCGGAAGAGGUGUAGAAGCAAGUCAAGCACCCACUUGGCCCCUGCAUCCUGUCCUACAUCGCCUGCACGAGCUCACUGAUGGCUGCGUCCUCCUUACCUACUAGCGUGUGUGACAUAUUUUUCAUCAUGUGGCAACUAUUGGUUUAUGGGAGCAUUUUCAACAACAAAGACAUGGCGAGCGGAUCCACGGCCAGGAAUGCGGGGUCCCCUGGUUGUCCAACGAGCAUUGUGCUUUGCUUGAUGGGUGUGGUGCUAGUUGUAGAGUAGCAUAGUGUUCUCCGAGACAUGCUUGUAGAAUUAAUCUUUUUUGGGUUCUUUUUUUUGCUCCUGUACAGGUGUAUUUUUGGGUGUGUUUAUGUAAUUUUUUGUUUUAAGGACUUGAACAUAUAUUUUCUGUUAAAUUA